rnacentral:rRNA from 1 species
AACGAACGCUGGCGGCAGGCCUAAUACAUGCAAGUCGAACGCUCGUAGCAAUACGAGAGUGGCAGACGGGUGAGUAACACGUGGGAACCUUCCCUUUGGUUCGGAAUAGCUCAGGGAAACUUGAGGUAAUACCGGAUAAGCCCUUACGGGGAAAGAUUUAUCGCCGAAGGAUGGGCCCGCGUCGGAUUAGCUAGUUGGUGGGGUAACGGCCUACCAAGGCGACGAUCCGUAGCUGGUCUGAGAGGAUGAUCAGCCACACUGGGACUGAGACACGGCCCAGACUCCUACGGGAGGCAGCAGUAGGGAAUAUUGGACAAUGGGCGCAAGCCUGAUCCAGCCAUGCCGCGUGAGUGACGAAGGCCUUCGGGUUGUAAAGCUCUUUUGGCGGGGACGAUAAUGACGGUACCCGCAGAAUAAGCUCCGGCUAACUUCGUGCCAGCCGCCGCCGUAACAC